AUGAAUAGUGAUGAGGCCGCGCGGUGGUUGAAGAAAGAGAAUAGGGCUACCACUUCUUUGCUCAGGAUUUUGAACAUGCCCCCAGUCGAAGGUUUGUCUACUUCGGGUUCGCCUGCUGGUACUCUGUCUGGUCCGAUCUUCAGAAAGAGAACUAGGUAUGCUAGCUUAUCAUAUUCGUGGGAAUCUGCUGUUUUAAUUUUUGGUGCCGGUUGUCAAGAGGAACUUUUAUUGAUAAGUUUUGUAGGAAGAGAUAGUGAGGAUAAAGAAGAAGGGUGGCGAUCUUACCCUUGA